GACGAACGCUGGCGGCGUGCUUAACACAUGCAAGUCGAACGGAAAGGCCCUGCUUUUGUGGGGUGCUCGAGUGGCGAACGGGUGAGUAACACGUGAGUAACCUGCCCUUGACUUUGGGAUAACUUCAGGAAACUGGGGCUAAUACCGGAUAGGAGCUCCUGCUGCAUGGUGGGGGUUGGAAAGUUUCGGCGGUUGGGGAUGGACUCGCGGCUUAUCAGCUUGUUGGUGGGGUAGUGGCUUACCAAGGCUUUGACGGGUAGCCGGCAUGAGAGGGUGACCGGCCACAUUGGGACUGAGAGACGGCCCAGACUCCUACGGGAGGCAGCAGUGGGGAAUAUGGCACAAUGGGCGGAAGCCUGAGGCAGAAACGCCGCGUGCGGGAUGACGGCCUUCGGGUUGUAAACCGCUUUCGCCUGUGACGAAGCGUGAGUGACGGUAAUGGGUAAAGAAGCACCGGCUAACUACGUG
rnacentral:rRNA from 1 species